GCUAAAACACACGUUAGCCCUAUUCUUGUCUAAACCCUAGAUUUUUUCUUCCAACUUCGCUAACAACAAAUCACCACCACAAACGGAUGUUCCCCAUUUGUUUCUACGACAUCACCACCACCCCCUCUCCUUCCUCGCAUCACUGACCACCAGCUCCACUUGAAUCUCCUCUGUCAACCAUCAUCUUCAAUCGCUUCUUCCAUCUUCGCCGCCGUUACAAACUCGAAGAGGGUCAUUAGCCAUCCCUGACCCCAUCAACCCUUACGUGCUCACCCAAAUGUUCUUCCCUCUCUAAUGGAUGAUCGACGUGUUAGAAGUGAACCUCUACCUAGACCGGCGUCCUUCACCCCCAAAAGGAAUGUGUGGAUUCUUUUUUUCACAGAUCUGCACACCAGCCUGUUUUUGGACAAGAGAUGCCUCAAUCAGAGAGAAAUCAGGUUACAAGGGCAUAAAUAGUAAGGUGAAGAUGCUAUUAUGAGUAAAAUUACAGGUUUGGUGCUGUUAGUUAUUGUGUUGUACAGGAAUUUGAUGUUCGUAGUGAGAAUGAGCUUCUUGCAAAAGAACGUGCCGAGUUUAUCAAAUUAUUGCAGCAAGCCCAGAUUGAGGCUGCAUCUGCAUUUGGAAGUGAUGGUGUAUUGUGAAUAAUGAUGAUUUUGCCCUUGCAGAGGAGGAACCAAAAGUUUCUUGAAGAAGCACCAUCGCCUGCAUUAACCCUAGAUCUAAGGAAAGCCAGAAUCCAGGUUGGUUAAAAAAAACUAAAUUAAUAUUGAAAAAAGGAACACCAGGUUAGUUUAAAAAAACUAACAAAAUAUAAACUCCAUUUUAUUAUAGAUAAAUGUUGUGACCCUUUGUUUUUUUUAAUGUUAAAAAAAGGUCGAGCAUCCAUUGAUCGAAAUGAUAUCUUCAGUCGACUUAAUAGAGGAGCAAAUCCAUU